GCCGGGCAUGGUGGUGCAUGCCUGUAAUCCCAGUGGCUCAAGAGGCUGAGGCAGGAUGGUCAUGAGUUCAGCCAGACUCAGCAAAAGUGAGGCACUAAGCAGCUCAGUGAGACCCUGUCUCUA
rnacentral:sRNA from 1 species